rnacentral:rRNA from 1 species
GAUGAACGCUGGCGGCGUGCCUAAUACAUGCAAGUCGAGCGAACGGACGAGAAGCUUGCUUCUCUGAUGUUAGCGGCGGACGGGUGAGUAACACGUGGAUAACCUACCUAUAAGACUGGGAUAACUUCGGGAAACCGGAGCUAAUACCGGAUAAUAUUUUGAACCGCAUGGUUCAAAAGUGAAAGACGGUCUUGCUGUCACUUAUAGAUGGAUCCGCGCUGCAUUAGCUAGUUGGUAAGGUAACGGCUUACCAAGGCAACGAUGCAUAGCCGACCUGAGAGGGUGAUCGGCCACACUGGAACUGAGACACGGUCCAGACUCCUACGGGAGGCAGCAGUAGGGAAUCUUCCGCAAUGGGCGAAAGCCUGACGGAGCAACGCCGCGUGAGUGAUGAAGGUCUUCGGAUCGUAAAACUCUGUUAUUAGGGAAGAACAUAUGUGUAAGUAACUGUGCACAUCUUGACGGUACCUAAUCAGAAAGCCACGGCUAACUACGUGCCAGCAGCCGCGGUAAUACGUAGGUGGCAAGCGUUAUCCGGAAUUAUUGGGCGUAAAGCGCGCGUAGGCGGUUUUUUAAGUCUGAUGUGAAAGCCCACGGCUCAACCGUGGAGGGUCAUUGGAAACUGGAAAACUUGAGUGCAGAAGAGGAAAGUGGAAUUCCAUGUGUAGCGGUGAAAUGCGCAGAGAUAUGGAGGAACACCAGUGGCGAAGGCGACUUUCUGGUCUGUAACUGACGCUGAUGUGCGAAAGCGUGGGGAUCAAACAGGAUUAGAUACCCUGGUAGUCCACGCCGUAAACGAUGAGUGCUAAGUGUUAGGGGGUUUCCGCCCCUUAGUGCUGCAGCUAACGCAUUAGGCACUCCGCCUGGGGAGUACGACCGCAAGGUUGAAACUCAAAGGAAUUGACGGGGACCCGCACAAGCGGUGGAGCAUGUGGCUUAAUUCGAAGCAACGCGAAGAACCUUACCAAAUCUUGACAUCCUUUGACAACUCUAGAGAUAGAGCUUUCCCCUUCGGGGGACAAAGUGACAGGUGGUGCAUGGUUGUCGUCAGCUCGUGUCGUGAGAUGUUGGGUUAAGUCCCGCAACGAGCGCAACCCUUAAGCUUAGUUGCCAUCAUUAAGUUGGGCACUCUAAGUUGACUGCCGGUGACAAACCGGAGGAAGGUGGGGAUGACGUCAAAUCAUCAUGCCCCUUAUGAUUUGGGCUACACACGUGCUACAAUGGACAAUACAAAGGGCAGCGAAACCGCGAGGUCAAGCAAAUCCCAUAAAGUUGUUCUCAGUUCGGAUUGUAGUCUGCAACUCGACUACAUGAAGCUGGAAUCGCUAGUAAUCGUAGAUCAGCAUGCUACGGUGAAUACGUUCCCGGGUCU